rnacentral:piRNA from 1 species
UAGUUGGUCACAUUGAACUAAAGCCUUCU